UGAGUGCGAGCGGCUACGGCCGCGAAGUGGGUGAUGUCAAGCUUCCAAGAAAAGCCCUAUACCCGUUAAGGCAUGAUGGCCUGUACCCGAAACCGACACAGGUGGGGUGGUAGAGAAUACCGAGGGGCGCGAGGUAACUCUCUCUAAGGAACUCGGCAAAAUGGCCCCGUAACUUCGGGAGAAGGGGUGCCACCGCAAGGUGGUCGCAGUGAAGAGGCCCAGGCGACUGUUUACCAAAAACACAGGUCUCCGCUAAGUCGCAAGACGAUGUAUGGGGGCUGACGCCUGCCCAGUGCCGGAAGGUUAAGGAAGCUGGUCAGCGCAAGCGAAGCUGGCGACUGAAGCCCCGGUGAACGGCGGCCGUAACAAUAACGGUCCUAAGGUAGCGAAAUUCCUUGUCGGGUAAGUUCCGACCCGCACGAAAGGCGUAACGAUCUGGGCGCUGUCUCGGAGAGAGGCUCGGCGAAAUAGAAUUGUCUGUGAAGAUGCGGACUACGUGCACCCGGACAGAAAGACCCUAUGAAGCUUUACUGUAGCUUGGUAUUGUGCCCGGGCUCUGAAUGCGCAGGAUAGGUGGGAGGCUUUGAUCCAUGGCUUGCGGGUCAUGGUGAGCCAACGGUGAGAUACCACUCUUUCAGAGCUAGGGUUCUAACGGUCACCCGUCAUCCGGGGACCGGACAGUAUCAGGUGGGCAGUUUGACUGGGGCGGUCGCCUCCUAAAAGGUAACGGAGGCGCGCAAAGGUUUGCUCAGGCUGGUUGGAAAUCAGCCGACGAGUGCAAAAGCAGAAGCAAGCUUGACUGUGAGACCUACAAGUCGAACAGGGACGAAAGUCGGCUUUAGUGAUCCGACGGUUCUGAGUGGAAGGGCCGUCGCUCAACGGAUAAAAGUUACUCUAAGGAUAACAGGCUGAUCUCCCCCAAGAGUUCACAUUGACGGGGAGGUUUGGCACCUCGAUGUCGGCUCAUCGCAACCUGGGGCUGAAGUCGGUCCCAAGGGUUGGUCUGUUCGCCCAUUAAAGCGGUACGCGAGCUGGGUUCAGAACGUCGUGAGACAGUUCGGUCCAUAUCCGGUGCACGCGCAGGAACAUUGAGAGGAUUUCUCCCUAGUACGAGAGGACCGGGAGGAACGCACCUCUGGUGUGCCAGUUAUCGUGCCAACGGUAAACGCUGGGUAGCCAUGUGCGGAGUGGAUAACCGCUGAAAGCAUCUAAGUGGGAAGCCCACCUCAAGAUGAGUGUUCCCAUGGCAUAAGCCAGUAAGGUCACGGGAAGAACACCCGUUGAUAGGCUCUACGUGGAAGCUGGGUAACCGGUGAAGCGGAGGAGUACUAAUAGACCGAGGGCUUGACC
rnacentral:rRNA from 1 species